AUAAAUGAUACUGAUCAAUGCAAAAGGUGAAGUCAUCACAGCGAGAUCAAAGGUUGAAACGCUUGUGGUAUAAUUGCUUAAGGAUUGGUAGCUGAUUCAGGUUUGGUGUCUUUGGAAGGGAAUGUGGACUUUGGUAACUCAGGCAAGUGGGGAAAAGUUGGCAGUUCAGGUUUUGGCAACUCAGGCAAGUGGGGAAAAGCUGGCAGUUCAGGCUUUGGAAACUCAGGCAAUUCAGGUUUUGGCAGCGUGGGAAUUUCAGGCUUCGACAACUCAGGCAAUUCAGGUAAUUUUGGCAGAGUGGGAAGUUCAGGUUUAGGAAAGGUUGGGACUUCAGGUAAUGGUGGAAGCUCAACCUUAGGAAGUAAUGGCAAGUCAGGCAAUUCAGGCUUAGGAAGCUCCGGGACCUCAGGUAAUGUUGUCUCUAGAAGCUGUCGUGCUUCUGCAGAGAUUGACAGAGCAACGAGUGAGAGCAGAACAAUGAGUGAAGGGGAGCGAAGAUUGGCCAUAACUAUGCAACAAGAUCAAUCAGCUGUAAAUACAAUUUAUCCUCACUUUUGUUUUGUGUGUGUUGAUGUUCACUUGUGUUGAGCUUUUAUAGAAGUGGGAAGUGAAGAAUGGGGAACUUCCAAAGGUGAUUUAGUGGGAAAAGUUGUGUUAGCUCAACUUCCCACCCAUAAGACUCCCACUGUUGGCAUGACCAACUAUAGACUUCCUUACAAGUGUAACCUUGCUAUCUUUCUAUAUGGAGUCCAGAGAUUGGUUAGAUUGAUAAUAAGCUAAAAUAUGGUUCUCACUUGUAAUCAUUCUCAGAAAUCAGAACACUUGUGAAGUUCAAGCUUUUUCACCUAUUUAAUAAUUCACUUCUUUCCUGUUCUACCUACAAAAGAUGAGAUUCUGAAGAAUGGUUCUUCUUUAGUUACUUUAAAAUAAUGUUCAACGAAGAUAGCCUCAUCUGCAAAGUUGGCCAACCUACACACUAAACUUUGACAUGUCUUUCUUUUUAUUGAAGCUCUGACUGAUCUUCACAUCACAUCCAAUUAUCCACAAGGUACUCUUCUAUUUGAAAUUAAGAAUUUUAUUAAAAAUUAAUUCAAUUGAUUUCUUUUAUAUCAAUCUCUUGGUUGGAAUGAGAUUCAAUUUUUUUGACUUAUAAAAUUUUCAUAUUAAAAAAAUUGAAACCAUGUGUAUUCUUGUAAGAAUUUAUUUAUAUUCUUUUUUUUUUCAAACUGAAUCAUUGCAAACAAAAGGACUAUAUAAGGUAGUAUAUAUGAUUCUCAGUUGUAAUUAUAACAGUUCAAAAUAUGUCUAAUCACAUUAGUUUCGGUAGAUCUUCAACAAACUGAAAAUUACUAAUGUUUACAACGGAAUCUGUCUCAGCAAUAUGUAAUCUCCAUAUGCUUUUUUAGUUUUCAGAAACCUUGUAAUUUUUACAGAAUAAAGGAAUUUUACCAUUACGGGUGUAACAUCUAGUUAAACUCCGAUGUCGGAAUCUCAACGUUCUGACGGAAUCUCCGUCGAGAUCCAGAAUCUCGAAGCUAAAAUUUUUAGAAGGAUAAAAUAGAGUUUUCAUAAAAUGAAUUAAAAAUUUUUCUUGGUGUGUUUUAAAAAAAAAUAAAAAAUUUAGAGGAGUUUUAAAGUUCGGCCGCCGAAGACGGCUCUUCCAGCCACUUAUAAAAGGCCUUCAACCCAAAAAUAUGAGAACUCUUUCUCUAUUUUCGAGCAGAGGUAAGUCCAUGCCCUUUUCCAGACAUUCUUGCUAAAAUUACUUCAAAUCUCUUGGAGAAUACAUGAGUUUUUACUUCAUUUUUUAAGAUUUGAGUUUGGAUUUCAAGCUUUAAACUUUGGAGACCUCCGAAAAUCGAUUUCCCAAUUCUCCAAAUCUUGGUUGUUGUGUUUUCUAUGUUUUUCAAGAGGUAAGUUCAAUCUUUGCUUUUCUUAUGCUUUUUGAAGGUUUUAAACCGAUAUUAUAAGUUGUUAGGACAUGCAUGAUUGAUUAUUCUAAAGUUUUAAAGUUUGAGUUAGUUUUGAUGAUGGAUGAUUUUCUCCUGGGAUUUUGUUGAUGCAUGUUGAGUUUAGAACAGUUUUUGAGGUCUCUUAUGCGUGUUAAGUGUGUAUGGUAGUCUUUAGCCUGUUGCAUGUAAGUUUGGGUUUGUUUAUUGGCUAUGAGCAUAGGGCAAAAUCAGGUUCUGCCUUACUGGAGAUCCUAGGUUCAGCCGCUGAAGCAAGGUUCGGCCACCAAAUCUGUCUGUAGAGGCAGCCAUUUGGCCACCUAACCUGCCGCUGAAAGUCCUCUGUUCAGCCUUUUUCAGCUUGUUUCCUACGUGUGUUCUUGUAUGUUCUUAGGGGUUUUCUUGAGGGUAGUUUAAGUAUUGUAAUAGUUAUGUUUGGUUCCUCAUUUAAAUCCAUCUAUGUAGGAUCGGACUUUGGAGACUGUAGAGGCUUGCAGUGAGAUAACUGCUUCAGUACUAGGCGUGCAUCAGUCAAAGGUGAGUAGAACUGAACUGAUAUAUUAUUUUAAAGAAAUCAAACUUUUUAAGCAUACUCAUACAUCACGAAUGUCAUGUAUAUACGAUUAGGUUGUUUUGCAUUAGAGUUCACGAAUAUAAUACAUUGCAUAAAUUAUUGUUGUUGUGGAUGGACGUUGGAUGACCCACUAGCCCUCGAGUAUGUUAUGAUAUGUUAUGAUGGAUAUGGAAAGACUAGGGUUGCCUAUUCUACGCCUCUGGCACUAUGUAAGGGAAAGACCAGGGCUGCCCAUUCUAUGCCCCUUGCACUAUGGAUAUGUUAUGUUAUAUUUAAGAGGAAAACCUGAGGAGCACUCGUCGUGGGCCGAGCACUAUUGAAAUCUGUAGAGGGUUACUGAUGACAAGUCCAUUUUGAUGUAAAUUGUUUGUGCUGUGAUGCAUUCAUACAAUCAUAUAUUUUAUUGAACUGUUUUUUUAUGUUCUGCUCACUAGACUCUUAUAGUUUAUCCCCUUUCCCCUAAUCCCAGGUUUGCAGGAUCAAAGUUAGCUCGGGAAGUCGGCUGAGUUGCUGGUAUAGCCUAUUGUAAUAGUAUAGCUAUGGAAAUAUAUUCAUUUGUGGAUUAGAAUUGUGCUUUGCCCGGGUUCUUCCUUGUAAUCCUUGUUUCAUGAUCAUUUUAUAUAAAAGUUUUUAAGUAUAAGUUUAUGUUUAAAUCGAGCUUGAGGCAUGUUAUGUCACACCCAUUCUCAAAACUGUGGAGAUGGAUAUGACCCGAAAAACUGACAGAACUUCCCCUGUUGUUAAUACAUAUAACUCAUAUGACCUGCUAUAAUUUCAAAAUAUAAAACAUAUAAGAGAUGAUUGAUAGCUAGACUGGUCAAUACAUAAUAUAUUUACAAUAAACAAAACACGUUCAUCAUUUGAAUUUACAAUCUAUACAUAAUCUGUCAAAAUUACAAAAAGAAAAGACAAGACCUAGGAUUGGUCCGACCUCCUCUAGACUCUGAGUGGACGAUGUGGAAGGAAUAACAAACUAGGAGAUGAGGACUGCUGAGCGGAUCACCAAAAAAAAACUGAAUAUUAAAAGAAAUAAGAGUGAGUACAACAUAUUCAGUGAGUGGAUAAAUAAAUAACAAAGGGGAAAAGAUAAGUUUAGGUAAUUAAUAGUACCAAAUAUUUAGCUAAAAUAAGUCAGCUGAAUAAAUACAAUUUAAUUCCUAGGCCUGGGCCUUAUAUGUUAUGUUGACCAUACCGAAGCAUUUGAUGAGGGCUCUAGUAUAGGUUUUAUGUUUUCAGUUACGAUGCAUGCACAAGUCGAGUCUUGGUUCAUGUAAUAAUUAUAUUUUUGUUGUUUGUAUGAUCAUGCAUGGAAUUAUAUCAUAUGUAAUAGGAUGUAUAGUAUGCUUGCUGUGGGCUCCAGUGACCUUAAGUCGAUUUGAACCCUAGCACCGGUAGUGGUCUGGUUCCCGGGUCGUUACAGAGUGGUAUCAAAGCCCUAGAUUCAUAUGACUGGGCCUAGAGUGUUGGGCUCAUAGAUGUUAUAGAGGGCAAAUACAAUUAGGAAAUAUUAUAUCCACUAGGAUAGAAUGUAGAGUCUUGUCAUGAUAUAUGUGAUAACCUCCAGAUCUUUCCUAGCCCAGGAAUAAGGUCGGGUCCAAAAGAAGGCACAGGUCCAAAGCCCAUCAGAUCAUACGCUCGAGAGGCGGCUCGACUUCACGAGCCUGGGCCGGCAACCCAGGAUGAUCCGGAUCAGAUAUGAGCACAAGCCCCAUAAGGGAGUAGGCCCAAUCACUCACCAGCUCUACCCGCAUGCUCUCUGGAGAGCAUUAAAUGGCCGUUACGCAUGGAGCAGGUGCCUGACACGCCCGUAUGUACGGGCCUGAGUGACAAGGACAGGAAGCACUAUAUAUCGGGGGGUCUCCUCUUGCAAGGGGGAUCUUCUUCUUUUUCUUCUCCUGCCUGGACUCCAUUUUUAUUUUCUCUGCAACUCUUGCCUAGAUAUACUACUCUUAUUCAUGAAACCUGACUUGAACGUCGGAGGGUCUCCGCUGGGGCAUCCCGGUGGACCCUUGACCAUUUUUCCUUAUUUUGCAGGUCCCUUUCUCAGAUAGAACAUGGAGAGACCCAUUUGACAGAUUCGUCUGGGAGCCCAAGAAGGAAUCAGAUCCACAUAAGAGGGGGCGAGGGAGGACCAGAUCUAACAAAUAUGGAGCCCAGGGAGAUUUAAAGUUAUCAAUAUGUAUAAUGAUGUAUAAUGUCAUGACUAUAUACAUGUGCAUUGAUGAUAUGAUAGGUAUGAUGUGGGUUCAUGUGUAUCCACAUGAACCAUAUGAUGCUAAUGCCUAUAUGUUUAAAUGAUUUUUCAGAAGACAGAAUGCAUGGCUUAUGUCGAUCUGUACGAUUGACUAGAGUCCCAUCCGAAAAAUGAGGGUAUAGACGCCCUUCCUCCUGCUGCUCCGUCAAGAGUGCGGUCAAGUAGAAAUAACAAGAAUGAAAAGUCAAGAGACCCUAUAAUGUCUUUUAAUAUAAACAAAAAGAGAACAGAUCCGAGUAGGAUGUUUGCAGAUGCCAGAAAAACAGUAGGAAAUGAUUAGAGGAGAGAUAGAAGUUUGGGUAUGAGUUUUGAAGUAGAGGGUGUGGGAGAGUCUGAAAGAGGAACAGAAGGCGUCAGACCAUAGGAUCCGCCUAUCCACCUCAGUACCAACCCUAUGCACAGGAACUCGGGUAUCCGAUGGAAAGUACAACAGAUUACUCUAGCUACCACCCAUACCCCUCAUUCAUACCCUAUCCUCCUUGCUAUUCAUUAUAUCCACCCUACCCUAUCUUAUGUUUUCGCCUCCUCCCCAUUACUAGAAUUUGGCAAACUCUAACUCAGGAAAUGUUGCACCACCUCCUCCUCCAGCAAAACCAGCUAGAAAAAAGUUUUUAUACCCAGAUAGAAAAAAGUUUUUUCUUCAAACUAUAUCAUUCAUUUUAUUUUAUUUACAAUUUUAAUUAAAUCAGUUUUUGAUAAUUUUUCAAAAAAUUAAAUUUGAAAUAAAACAGAUAUUUUUUUUAAAAAUUUUAGGACAUUAAUAAUUUUUAACUUUGAUUAGCAAUUUAUAAUAUUAAACAUUAUACUUUUUAAUUAACAACAAUUCCAUUUAAUUUUCUAAGUUCAGUAAUUCUCUUUAUGGCCCUGAACUAUUUAAUAAGAUUGAUGAGGGUCAUAGCAAAAACCAAAUAAAUAAACUGGAUCAAUUUUGUAUAUAGAAUAUAAACAUACAACGUACAUCAUACAAAAGCUGAAACAAAAAUAUUAUAGGACUAAAACUCACUUCAAAUUUAAGCAUGCAUAUAUAUAACAUAUGAAUCAGACACUUAAGAACACAUAAAUGAUACUGAUCAAUGCAAAAGCUGAAGUCAUCACAGCGAGAUCAAACGUUGAAACCCUUGUGGUAUAAUUGCUUAAGGAUUGGUAGCUGAUUCAGGUUUGGUGUCUUUGGAAGGGAAUGUGGACUUUGGUAACUCAGGCAAGUGGGGAAAAGUUGGCAGUUCAGGUUUUGGCAACUCAGGCAAGUGGGGAAAAGCUGGCAGUUCAGGCUUUGGAAACUCAGGCAAUUCAGGUUUUGGCAGCGUGGGAAUUUCAGGCUUCGACAACUCAGGCAAUUCAGGUAAUUUUGGCAGAGUGGGAAGUUCAGGUUUAGGAAAGGUUGGGACUUCAGGUAAUGGUGGAAGCUCAACCUUAGGAAGUAAUGGCAAGUCAGGUAAUUCAGGCUUGGGAAGCUCCGGGACCUCAGGUAAUGUUGUCUCUAGAAGCUGCCGUGCUUCUGCAGAGAUUGACAGAGCAACGAGUGAGAGCAGAACAAUGAGUGAAGGGGAGCGAAGAUUGGCCAUAAUUAUGCAACAAGAUCAAUCAGCUGUAAAUAAAAUUUAUCCUCACUUUGUUUUGUGUGUGUUGAUGUUCACUUGUGUUGAGCUUUUAUAGAAGUGGGAAGUGAAGAAUGGGGAACUUACAAAGGUGAUUUAGUGGGAAAAGUUGUGUUAGCUCAACUUCCCACCCAUAAGACUCCCACUGUUGGCAUGACCAACUAUAGACUUCCUUACAAAUGUAACCUUGCUAUCUUUCUAUAUGGAGUCCAGAGAUUGGUUAGAUUGAUAAUAAGCUAAGAUAUGGUUCUCACUUGUAAUCAUUCUCAGAAAUCAGAACACUUGUGAAGUUCAAGAUUUUUCACCUAUUUAAUAAUUCACCUCUUUCUUGUUCUACCUACAAAAGAUGAGAAUCUGAAGAAUGGUUCUUCUUUAGUUACUUUAAAAUAAUGUUCAAUGAAGAUAGCCUCAUCUUCAAAGUUGGCCAACCUACACACUAAACUUUGACAUGUCUUUCUUUUCGUUGAAGCUCUGACUGAUCUUCACAUCCAAUUAUUCAAGUUAAUCUUCUAUUUGAAAUUAAGAAUUUUACUAAAAAUUAAUCCAAUUGAUUUCUUUUAUAUAGAUCUCUUGGUUGGAAUGAUAUUCAAUUUUUUUUUAACUUAUAAAAUUUUUAUAUUAAAAAAAUUAAAACUAUGUGUAAUCUUGUUAGAAUUUAUUUGUAUUAUUUUCUUUCAAACUGAAUCAUUGCAAACACAAGGACUAUAUGAGAGAGUAUAUAUAAAUCUCAGUUGUAAUUAUAACAGUUUAGAAUAUGUCUAAUCACAUUAGUUUUGGUAUAUCUUGAACAAACCGAAAAUUACUAAUGUUUAUAACGGAAUCUGUCUCAACAACAUCUAAUCUCGAUAUGCUUUUCCAAUUAAUCUCGAUAUGCUUUUCCAAUUUUCAGAAGCCUUAUAACUUUUACAGAAUAAAAGAAUUUUACCACGGAGAGUUCAUUUAAUCUUUGAUUUGAUUUGAGUAAAAAUAAAUAAAUUGAAUUAAAUCAAACCAAAUUUUGAAGAGUUCAAACUUAUUUUUUAAAUUUUUUUUAAGUUUGAGUUUCAUUUUGAACUUGAGCCAAGUAUUAAUAAGCUUAAAUUUGGCUCAUUUAGCAAACGAAUUUAGAUAAAUCGAAUUUUUAUCGAGUUUAGUUUUGAAUAAUUUACGAAAAGUUCAAUUUAUUUACAUAUAUAUAUAUAAUAAGAUUUAGUUGAAAACUAAUACGUUUAAAACUAAAUAAUUUUAGUUAAAUAAGUAUAUAUAUAAAUUAGCUUUUAAAAUUAUAAAGGAUGAGUUUUUAAAUUUUAAUGAUUCAAAUAUCUAUAAAUUUUAAAAGUAUAAUUAAACUAUGCAAGUUGAACUUUAAAAAACUUAGAUCUGAUUCAUGAAAAUAUAUACAAAGUAUAAUUUAGUUCUCUUAUAAUAUUACUUUCCGUAUGCUUAUUUGAGACCGUUUAUAAGUUUGUUCGCGAGCUUGCUCAUAAAUUCGAAAAUGAGCUGAAUUCGUGAGUCUUAAAGAGUCUAAUACAAAUGAAUCUGAAAAUUAAGUUCAAUCUUGAUUCAUUUAGAAAUCAAGUUGAGUUUGAUUGAACUUUUUAUCGAAUUGAACUUUCAAUAAUUCACGGACAAUUUAAUCCAUUUACACCACUAAUAGUUAUUUAGGGUCAGAUAUAAUUGCGCUCUAUAAUAGUAGAACUAAAGAGUUGGUUCUAUUAAUUACCACAGAGCCAAUCUAUUAUUGGUCGUUGAUAGAUGCGCAUUGUGGGAGUAACCCUAAUGGAAAAAUUAAUUGAUUGAAAGCUUACUUUGUAGUCAAUAAAUUACCACUAAAAUAUGAGCUUGAUUACAAUAAUAUUUUGACUCAAAUGGCUAAAAUUUUAUCAAUUCGUCUUCUUGUCUCCUUAACAACAUCCACAUCAUUGGCCUCUUUAUUGAAUAGAUAAAAAAAAUUACUUUUUAUACGAAGAACUUAUAAAGAAAGUUCUUAUAAAGCAAUCAUCAGACCAUCAGAGUUUGUUGCUGAGAGGAUCAGGCAUGGUAUGCCAUUUAUGACAAAUACCACACGGGUUAAAAGUAGCCUGUAAGGAUGUUGUUUGGAUAGUUUAGUAAUGGGAUCCAACAGAUUAGGAUGUGUAGGAGUGAAGCCUAAUGUGCCCCUUAUAUGGGUCAUAGGCAAUCCUCCCCCUUGAGCUAGCUUUUGGGGUGAGUUAGGCCUGGCCCAAAUUUAACUUGGUAUCAAAGCCUCCCCAUCCGAUGUUGGGCCUCCCAUAAAUGUGUCACGCACCAGUAAAAUUCUGGGCGUGAGGGGGGUAUGUUGAAUCCCACAUCGGUUGUGGAAAGGGGUAAUGUGCCCCUUAUAUGGGUCAUAUAUAUAUAUAUCAUUAAAUAAAGCAUAAUUCUUGUAUAGAUUGAGUCUAUACGGACAUGUAGUAUAAAUUAUAUGUGAUUUGUUAUAGCUGUCACUACUAUUUUAUAUUACAGUCUGAUGACUGCUGGAUUUCUUCACCCCGACCUAAAGGCCAGGCCCCUGAAAACAGUCCAUAAUCCGAAGGCUUCAAUAUUCCCCUCGAGAGCCAGGUCUAGCCCGCUCAGUCACAGGGCCGGACUCUGCCUAGACUCCUCAAUCAAGCCGGCCCAAACCUCUCGGCCCAAUAAUCAGGCCCUCACCAGGCUCAACUUCAGCCCUACCAUUCAACCCAGCCCAGAAAGAGGAAAAUGACUAACCUGCCCCGCUGAUGGGUCCUUCCGCAUGCGUAUCAGAGGAGAAUUAAUGGUCGUUACGCAUGGAGCAGGCGCCUGACACAUCCGUACAUACAGAGCUGGGCGGCAGAAGACAGCUAGCAUUGUGGCAGAGAGACAGAUAUAUAUAUUACAGUAGAGGCCACGCAAAAGAGGGGGCUCUCUCUUCUUCUUCCUUCUCCUUCCUGGACACCAUUUUUAUUCUUUCUGCAACCCUUGCCUAAAUAUACUACUCUGAGCCAUAAAAUCUGACUUGAGCGUCGGAGGGCCUCCACCGGGGCACCCCCGGUAGGCCCCUGACCAUUCUUUCUUAUUUUACAGGUCCUUUCACCAGGUAAAACAUGGAGAGAUCCAUCAGGGAGCCCAGCAAGAAGGGACCCAGAAGAAAACCAGAUCUAUCAUGGACCAGGAAGAGGAAAAAAUUUAUCACAGUCCAUAUAAAACCGGUGUAGAUAAGUUUUUGCCCUUCAAGGAAAAUUGGUAAAAGAAUAUAAUUAGUAAAUUCUUUCAAUUUUUAGUAUAUGGAAAAUAAUUAUCACCCAUGAUUGAAUUAUUGGACAACAUCAUCAAAGAGAACUCUAGCAAAGUCCUUUCGUAUUUUCAUAUUUUCACUCUGUACCGAAUAAUUUUUGUUUUUUUUUUUUAAAUGAGAAUUGGAGAUUAGGAGAGUAGAACCUAAGCUUGUAAAUGCAGAUUGAAUAGUCUUAUAAUUGAAAUAUCUAAAUAAAAUCAUAAACAAAAUGAAUUUUAACUCAGAUCUUAACAAAUUAAUAUAAUAAUCUCAAUUUGAUCUAGUGUAUCUUUUGAUUUACAGUUUUUUAAGUCAAAUGUCAAUGAUAAAUUUAAAAUUUUAGUAGUUUUUUUCUCGUAACUCUAUUCCUAUUAUUAGAAUCUCUCUUUUACCGAAAAAUUCUUCAUAGUUAUGGAGGAAAAAUUUUUCUUUUUCUUGAAAAACUUAUCAUUUAUUUUAUUUUAUUUAUAAUUUUAAUUAAAUCGGUUGUUCAUAAUUUUUCAAAAAUUUAGAUUUGAAAUAAAAUAUAUUUUUUUUAAUUUUAGGCCAUCAGUAAUUUUUAAGUUCAGUGACUCAUAAUAUUAAAUUUAUAUUUUUUUAAUUCACAACAAUAUUUUAAUUUUUAAGUUCUGUAAAUUCUUGUGGCUCUGUGUGAAUGUGCUUGGAUCAUGAACUAUCAAUAAGAUUCAUCACAAUCAUACCCAAGAUCAAGAUCAAAUAAAUAAGCUGAUCAACUCUGCAAAUAGAAUAUAAACUGUACAUCAUACAAAUAUUUGAAAUAUAAAGAUUACAGGACUAACAUCCACUCCAAAUUUAAUCAUAUAUAUAUGUAAUCAAUGAUACUGAUCAAUGCGAAAGAUGAAGUCAUCACUGUGAGAUCAAACAUCGAAACAUUUAUGGUAUAGUUGUUUAAGGACUGGGAGUUGAUUGAGGAGGUUUUGUGUCCUUGGCAAGGAAUGUGGGCUUUGGUAACUCUGGCAAGUGGGGAAAAGUUGGCAGUUCAGGUUUUGGUAACUCAGGCAAUUCAAGUUUUGGCAAAGUGGGAAUUUCAGGCUUUGGCAACUCAGGCAAUUCAGGUUUUGGCAGUGUGGGAAGUUCAGGCUUAGGGAAGGCUGGGACUUCUGGUAAUGGUGGAAGCUCAACCUUAGGCAGUGAAGGCAAUUCAGGCUUGGGAAGCUCAGAUACCUCAGGCAAUGCUGUUUUUAGAAGGUGUCGUGCAUCUACGGAUUGACAGAGUGAUAAGUGAGAGCAUAAUGAUGAGGGAAGGGGAGCGAUGAUCGGCCAAAAUGCGACAAGAUCAACCACCUGCAAAGUGAAUAGUAAUUAAAAUUUCUGGACAAUUUUGUUUUGCGUGUUGAUGUUCACUUAGUGUUGAGCUUUUAUAGAAGUGGGAAGUGGAGAAUGGAGAACCUUCAAUGGUAAUUUGGUGGGAAAACUUGUGUCCUGUUAGCUCAACUUCCCAUCUAUAAUCCUCCAACAACUGGCAUGACCCAUUAUAGGCUUCCAUACAAAAGUAAUCUUUCCGUCCUUCUACAUGGAUUCAAGAGAUUAGUUGGAGAGAACCACAGCUAAAAGAUUGACAUUAAGCUAAAAUAUGUUGUCAGAAAUCACAACACUUGUCAAGUUCAAGCAUUUUUACAAAUUUAAUAAUUCACCACCACUAAACUUUGACAAAUCUUCCUUUAUUGCAACGCUUAUUGUUAUUGUUGGAAUUUAAUGACUGACCGAUCCAAAUCUCCAUGCGAUGAAAGUGUUGAAUUCCAAUUUAAUAUGAUGGCCUCUUCUAAAAUACUUCUAGACAAUUUAAAUUAAAUUUCAAUUAACUUAUCAUAUUAUAAAGCUUAUUAUUAUCAAUGUCAAGACUACGUUAUGAAAAAUAUCUUUCAUAUUUUUUGUUAUUUGGAAUAAUGAGAAAAAUUAAUCAAUAAAAAUAUUUUCUUGAUUAAAGAAAAAAUUAAAUCAUUUUAAAAAAAUACUGCUUCUUGGCUCUUUCUUUCUCAUCAAUUCUAUUUUCCUGUUGUGCUCUUCCAACAAAUCCAUAGUCACCAACUUGCCCUUUGAAAUUUAAAUUAUUGGACGACAUCAUCAACGAGAAUUCUAGCAAAGUUCUCUAAUAUUUUCUUCAUCAAUGUUGAAUUUUGAGAGGGAAGGGGAAUAAUACAUAUGAAUGCGACUAAAUAGUCUUACAAUUUUAUUGAUUGUAUUGUUAUUUAUACAGUCAAAUAUAAUUAAAAAAUCUAAAUAAAAUUAUAAAUAAUUUAAAUAUUAACUUAAAUAUUAAUAAAUUAAAAUAAUGAUUCAAAUUUAAAUUAUAUGAUUUAGCAUAUUUUUCGGUUUCUAAAUCAAAUAUCCAACGAUCAAUUUAAAAUUUUAGUACUCAUAAGCCCUUGGUAUUAUUAGAAACUCUCUUACUAAAAUUUUUUAAUAAUUAUAAAUAAAAAAGUUUUAUUUUUCUUUCAUAAUAUUAGAAAUAAAACCAUAUCAUUUAUUUUAUUUAAUUUGUAAUCGAAUUAAAUCGGUUGUUCAUGAUUUUUUGAAAAAUUAGAUUUAAAAUAAAAUGGAUAAUUUUUUAAUUUUAGGCCAUCAAUAAUUUUUAAGUUCAGUAAUUCAUAAUACUAAAAUUUUUUAAAAAAAUUCACAACAACAAUUUAAUUUUUAAGUUCAGUAAUAAUUUCUCUUUGUGGCUCUGCAUGAAAGUGCUUGGAUCAUGAACUAUUAAAUAAGAUUGAUCAGUCAUACCCAAAAUCAAAUAAAUAAGCUGGAUCAACUCAGUAUAUAGAAAAUGAACUCACAAGAUACAUCAUUCAAACAACUGAAACAGAAAUAUUAUAGGACUACCACUCACUGCAAAUUAAUCAUGUAUAUGUAAAAGAAGAUAUAAAUGAUACUGAUCAAUGCGAAAGAUGAAGUCAUCACUGUGAGAUCAAAUAUAGAAACACUUAUGGUGUAGUUGUUUAAGGACUGGUGGUUGAUUGAGGAGGUUUUGUGUCCUUAGAAGGCAAUGUGGGCUUUGGCAACUCAGGCAAGUGGGGAAAAGCUGGCAAUUCAGGCUUUGGCAACUCAGGCAAUUCAGGUUUUGGCAGUAUGGGAAGUUCAGGUUUAGGAAAGGUGGAGACUUCAGGUAAUGGUGGAAGCUCAACUUUAGGCAAUGAUGGCAACUCAGGCUUGGGAAGCUCAGGUACCUCAGGCAAUUCUGUCUCCAGAAGGUGUCGUGCAUCUACAGAGAUUGAUAGAGUGAUGAGUGAGAGCAUAAUGAUGAGGGAAGAGCGAAGAUCGGCCAUAAUGCUAU
rnacentral:lncRNA from 1 species